rnacentral:rRNA from 1 species
UUGCAGGCUGCAACCCGUCCUGCAUGAAGCUGGAAUCGCUAGUAAUCGCGGAUCAGAAUGCCGCGGUGAAUACGUUCCCGGGUCUUGUACACACCGCCCGUCACACCAUGGGAGUCGGAAAUGCCCGAAGUCGGUGACCUAACUGAAAGGAAGGAGCCGCCGAAGGCAGGUCUGGUGACUGGGGUGAAGUCGUAACAAGGUAUC